UAUCACAUUGUGAAUUUUUCGGAAUGCAAUGAAGUUGAGUUGGUGCCAUCCAAUUGGGUAUCCAAUGGAGUGUGUGCUUGGCCACCAUAUAAAACUGGAGAUAUCCAUAAGGCUAUAAUAAAUAAAGAGCAGCCGAAAGAAAACUGGAAAUCAUUUAAGGUUGAAGUUAUGUACACGACAGAUAAUUACAGAACUGCAAGACUGAAGCUUCCAGUUGCCGAAAGACACUCAGAUUUGCAGACAGCAGAAGAUGAAGAAGACGAUGAAAUUCCAAAAAGGACAAAAAGAAGGAAAAUAGCAAACACAAGAUUUCAUAGUGAUAGCGACGGUGAUGUCUGUAGCAAACCCAAAAGCCAUCUA